GACGAACGCUGGCGGCGUGCUUAACACAUGCAAGUCGAGCGGUAAGGCCCUUUCGGGGGUACACGAGCGGCGAACGGGUGAGUAACACGUGGGUGACCUGCCCUUAGCUCUGGGAUAAGCCUGGGAAACUGGGUCUAAUACCGGAUAUGACUCCAUGACGCAUGUUGUGGGGUGGAAAGCCCUGUGCGGCUAGGGAUGGGCCUGCGGCCUAUCAGCUUGUUGGUGGGGUGAUGGCCUACCAAGGCGACGACGGGUAGCCGGCCUGAGAGGGCGGCCGGCCACACUGGGACUGAGACACGGCCCAGACUCCUACGGGAGGCAGCAGGUGGGGAAUCUUGCGCAAUGGGCGAAAGCCUGACGCAGCGACGCCGCGUGGGGAUGAC
rnacentral:rRNA from 1 species